UAACGCGUGGGCAACCUGCCCUUGGGUCUGGAAUAACCUGCCGAAAGGCGGGCUAAUACCGGAUGACGAUGCGGAGUCUUCGGGUUCUGCAUCCAAAGCUGACCUCUUCAUUGAAAGUUGGCGCCUGGGGAGGGGCUCGCGUCCCAUUAGCUAGUUGGUGAGGUAACGGCUCACCAAGGCUACGAUGGGUAGCCGGCCUGAGAGGGCGACCGGCCACAGUGGAACUGAGACACGGUCCACACUCCUACGGGAGGCAGCAGUGAGGAAUCUUGCGCAAUGGGCGAAAGCCUGACGCAGCGACGCCGCGUGGACGAUGAAGGCCUUCGGGUCGUAAAGUCCUGUCGGGUGGGAAGAAUUGGUCUGGAGAUAAUACCUCCAAGCCUUGACGGUACCACCAAAGGAAGCCCCGGCUAACUCCGUGCCAGCAGCCGCGGUAAUACGGAGGGGGCCAGCGUUGCUCGGAAUUAUUGGGCGUAAAGGGCGCGUAGGCGGCCUGGUAAGUUUGAUGUGAAAUCCCACGGCUUAACCGUGGA
rnacentral:rRNA from 1 species